rnacentral:rRNA from 1 species
AACGAACGCUGGCGGCAGGCCUAACACAUGCAAGUCGAGCGCCCCGCAAGGGGAGCGGCAGACGGGUGAGUAACGCGUGGGAAUCUACCCAUCCCUACGGAACAACUCAGGGAAACUUGAGCUAAUACCGUAUACGCCCUUCGGGGGAAAGAUUUAUCGGGGAUGGAUGAGCCCGCGUUGGCUUAGCUAGUUGGUGAGGUAAUGGCUUACCAAGGCGACGAUCCAUAGCUGGUCUGAGAGGAUGAUCAGCCACACUGGGACUGAGACACGGCCCAGACUCCUACGGGAGGCAGCAGUGGGGAAUAUUGGACGAUGGGCGCAAGCCUGAUCCAGCCAUGCCGCGUGAGUGAUGACGGCCCUAGGGUUGUAAAGCUCUUUCAACGGUGAAGAUAAUGACGGUAACCGUAGAAGAAGCCCCGGCUAACUUCGUGCCAGCCGCCGCCGUAACAC